AACGAACGCUGGCGGCAGGCCUAACACAUGCAAGUCGAGCGGACCCUUCGGGGUUAGCGGCGGACGGGUGAGUAACGCGUGGGAAUAUGCCCUUCUCUACGGAAUAGUCCUGGGAAACUGGGGGUAAUACCGUAUACGCCCUUUGGGGGAAAGAUUUAUCGGGGAAGGAUUAGCCCGCGUUGGAUUAGGUAGUUGGUGGGGUAAUGGCCUACCAAGCCGACGAUCCAUAGCUGGUUUGAGAGGAUGAUCAGCCACACUGGGACUGAGACACGGCCCAGACUCCUACGGGAGGCAGCAGUGGGGAAUCUUAGACAAUGGGGCAACCCUGAUCUAGCCAUGCCGCGUGAGUGAUGAAGGCCUUAGGGUUGUAAAGCUCUUUCAGCUGGGAAGAUAAUGACGGUACCAGCAGAAGAAGCCCCGGCUAACUCCGU
rnacentral:rRNA from 1 species